UACGAAGGGGGCUAGCGUUGCUCGGAAUCACUGGGCGUAAAGGGUGCGUAGGCGGGUCUUUAAGUCAGAGGUGAAAUCCUGGAGCUCAACUCCAGAACUGCCUUUGAUACUGAGGAUCUUGAGUAUGGGAGAGGUGAGUGGAACUGCGAGUGUAGAGGUGAAAUUCGUAGAUAUUCGGAAGAACACCAGUGGCGAAGGCGGCUCACUGGACUGGUAUUGACGCUGAGGUGCGAAAGCGUGGGGAGCAAACAGG
rnacentral:rRNA from 1 species